AUACGGAGGAUGCGAGCGUUAUCCGGAUCUAUUGGGUUUAAAGGGUGCGUAGGCGGAAAGUUAAGUCAGCGGUGAAACGCAGGUGCUCAACACCUGACCUGCCGUUGAGACUGGUUUUCUGGAAUGCGGAUGCUGUGGGAGGAAUGUGUGGUGUAGCGGUGAAAUGCAUAGAUAUCACACAGAACACCGAUUGCGAAGGCAUCUCACAAAUCCGCUAUUGACGCUGAGGCACGAAGGUGCGGGGAUCGAACAGGAUUAGAUACCCUGGUAGUCCGCACAGUAAACGAUGAUGACUCGCUGUCGGCGAUAGACAGUCGGUGGCCAAGCGAAAGCGAUAAGUCAUCCACCUGGGGAGUACGACCGCAAGGUUGAAACUCAAAGGAAUUGACGGGG
rnacentral:rRNA from 1 species